UACGUAGGUGACAAGCGUUUGUCCGGAUUUACUGGGCGUAAAGAGCGCGCAGGCGGUCGAUCAAGUCGAGUGUGAAAGCCCCCGGCUCAACCGGGCGGAUGCGGGUGAAACCGCGCGACUGGAGGGUGGGAGAGGUCGGCGGAAUUCCCGGUGUAGUGGUGAAAUGCGUAGAUAUCGGGAGGAACACCCGUAGCGAAGGCGGCCGACUGGACCACACCUGACGCUGAGGCGCGAAGGCCAGGGGAGCGAACGGG
rnacentral:rRNA from 1 species